UGGGGAAUAUUGCACAAUGGGCGCAAGCCUGAUGCAGCCAUGCCGCGUGUGUGAAGAAGGCCUUCGGGUUGUAAAGCACUUUCAGCGAGGAGGAAGGUGGUGGACUUAAUACGUUCAUCAAUUGACGUUACUCGCAGAAGAAGCACCGGCUAACUCCGUGCCAGCAGCCGCGGUAAUACGGAGGGUGCAAGCGUUAAUCGGAAUUACUGGGCGUAAAGCGCACGCAGGCGGUUUGUUAAGUCAGAUGUGAAAUCCCCGGGCUCAACCUGGGAACUGCAUUUGAAACUGGCAAGCUAGAGUCUCGUAGAGGGGGGUAGAAUUCCAGGUGUAGCGGUGAAAUGCGUAGAGAUCUGGAGGAAUACCGGUGGCGAAGGCGGCCCCCUGGACGAAGACUGACGCUCAGGUGCGAAAAGCGUGGGGAGCAAAACAGGAUUAGAUACCCUGGUAGUCCACGCUGUAAAACGAUGUCGAUUUGGAGGUUGUGCCCUUGAGGCGUGGCUUCCGGAGCUAACGCGUU
rnacentral:rRNA from 1 species